AAUAGAUACCCCGGUAGUCCACGCCGUAAACGAUGAGUGCUAAGUGUUAGGGGGUUUCCGCCCCUUAGUGCUGCAGCUAACGCAUUAAGCACUCCGCCUGGGGGAGUACGGUCGCAAGACUGAAACUCAAAGGAAUUGACGGGGGGCCCGCACAAGCGGUGGAGCAUGUGGUUUAAUUCGAAGCAACGCGAAGAACCUUACCAGGUCUUGACAUCCCAUUGACCACUAUGGAGACAUAGUUUUCCCUUCGGGGACAACGGUGACAGGUGGUGCAUGGUUGUCGUCAGCUCGUGUCGUGAGAUGUUGGGUUAAGUCCCGCAACGAGCGCAACCCUUGUUCUUAGUUGCCAUCAUUUAGUUGGGCACUCUAAGGAGACUGCCGGUGACAAACCGGAGGAAGGUGGGGAUGACGUCAAAUCAUCAUGCCCCUUAUGACCUGGGCUACACACGUGCUACAAUGGACGGUACAAACGGUUGCCAACCCGCGAGGGGAGCUAAUCCGAUAAACCGUUCUCAGUUCGGAUUGUAGGCUGCAACUCGCCUACAUGAAGCC
rnacentral:rRNA from 1 species